rnacentral:rRNA from 1 species
UACGUAGGGUGCAAGCGUUGUCCGGAAUUAUUGGGCGUAAAGAGCUCGUAGGCGGUCUGUCGCGUCUGCUGUGAAAACUCGGGGCUUAACCCCGGGCCUGCAGUGGGUACGGGCAGACUAGAGUGCGGUAGGGGAGACUGGAAUUCCUGGUGUAGCGGUGAAAUGCGCAGAUAUCAGGAGGAACACCGGUGGCGAAGGCGGGUCUCUGGGCCGUAACUGACGCUGAGGCGCGAAAGCUAGGGGAGCAAACAGG